CCCAGAAAGUUUCCACGGAACCAGUCACCCGUGCUCUGCCCAAGAGGGUGUUUUGUGUUUCUGGGAAGAAAGCGAUCCAUCAGGAGCUGGAAUUCGGCCUGGCCUCGCCUGAGCAGCUCCAACCUGACGGAGAAGGAAGCACGGUCUGCUGGGGCCAGCACCAGACUGGAACUGGGGGGACUGGGCUCAAACAUCUGCUCGGCCACCGAGUCACCCCCCAGCCCCGGGGGCACCGCUCGGCCCUCGAGGACUGUCCCUUUUGGAGCCAAAGAUCAGACCUUGGGAGCUCUGCCUGGCUGCUGACGUGGCCCAGAGCCGAGGGACUGUCACCGUGCACCGUGACAGAAAAGGCAAUAUCAGGUGGGGACAGAGACAUAAAGAUAAUUUGCACGCGCAGGAGCCGCCGCUGCCGAGCUCGGAUCCUCCUCUAGGUCC